UGUUGUGCGACAGAGGUCCAGUGACUCUCAAGCUGGUCCUAGUGGCAUUAAAAGAAGAAGGGAAGUAACCCCGGAAAAGGACUUGCUACCUCAAGUCGUAAUGGAAGGGGAUUCCCCUUCUAAACAGUAAGAAGAUAAUGCUCUCCCCUCCUCCCAUCCCAUCAAUCAUCACCAGAUCUUCAAUAAAAGUAAGUGUCAUGUAAUUGUGCAUGCCUUUUUCAGUUUGUGUGUAUUAAAAUUAACAUUUCAUGUGGUAAAAAAAAAUUUUUUUCAUACUUUUGGGCGUUUUGCACGGAUUAAUUUUAUUUCCAUUAUUUCUUAUGGGGAAAAUUCAUUCGCAUAACGAUUAUUUCGCAUAACAAUUAUCCCUCUUGCACGGAUUAAAAUCGUUAACCGGGGGUCCACUGUAUUUUUUAAUUAUGUAUAGUAAUACAUAUAAAAUAACAUUUUUACUUACCUUUAUUGAAGAUUGGUGAUGGCAUCUGGAAGACAGGGAGGAGGAGAGAGGGAGUUGGGGUUAGUGUUUGGAAGGAGAAUCCCCCUCCAUGAGGACUUCAGGUAAAGCCCUCUCUGGGGUUACUUCCUUUCUCUGUCUUUUAAUGCCACUAGGACCAGCUUGAGAGUCACUGGACCCCUGUCUCACAAAAUAACUGUCAACAGUCCUCUGUUUCUGGUGCCUCUCUAACAUUUCCCUAAAAUGGGACAUGGUUCUGUCACUGAACUUGUUGCAAAGAUGGCUUGUUUCAACUUGCUCAGGGUGGUACUUCUGCACAAACAUUUGGACAUCAUUCCACUUGGCACAAAUCUCCUUAAUCUUUGAAGAAGGCACCUCAUCCACUCCCUAUAUUAACACCAUUCGCAACAUCAGCUUCCUUGAUUUGUUCUUUCUUUGACAGGAUAGAACCGAUGGUCGACUUGUUUUUCCCAUACAUCCUGGCAAGCUCAACAAGUCUCACACCACUCUCAUACUUCUGUAUUAUUUCCUUCUUCACAUCUAUGGUGUUUCUCACUUUCUUUACCACAGGGGUACCACUAGCAAGUUUCUUUGGGCCCA